GUUGGGGUCUGCGCAUAGUUGCUCGUAAGCGGUGAGUUCCCUAGUGAGGGCUCCUGCGCGGGGCAGGGUCUUUACAUAGCUCGCCAGCUGUGCGUAGCGGAAGUGGGUUGCGAAUGGUUGGGUAUGACCCCCACAUAGGUCAGCCAAGGUCCUCAGCCCCUGACCGGAGCACACAUGUUUCAGCCUUGGCAGUGGGCUUUGC